UACGAAGGGGGCUAGCGUUGCUCGGAAUCACUGGGCGUAAAGGGUGCGUAGGCGGGUCUUUAAGUCAGGGGUGAAAUCCCGGGGCUCAACCUCGGAACUGCCUUUGAUACUGCAAAUCUCGAGUCCGAUAGAGGUGGGUGGAAUUCCUAGUGUAGAGGUGAAAUUCGUAGAUAUUAGGAAGAACACCGGUGGCGAAGGCGGGUCUCUGGGCAACAACUGACGCUGAGGAGCGAAAGCGUGGGGAGCGAACAGG
rnacentral:rRNA from 1 species